GAUGAAGAACGUAGCGAAAUGCGAUACUUGGUGUGAAUUGCAGAAUCCCGUGAACCAUCGAGUCUUUGAAUGCAAGUUGCGCCCGAAGCCAUCUGGUUGAGGGCACGUCUGCCUGGGCAUCACAUAUCGUUGCCCAAUGCCUAUUGCAAUGCAAUAGGAAUUUCUAGGGCGAAUGAUGGCUUCCCGUGAGCGUUGUUGCCUCGCGGUUGGUUGAAAAUCGAGUCCUUGGUAGGGUGUGCCAUGGUAGAUGAUGGUGGUCGAGUUAGAACGAUACCGAUCAUGUGCAUGCUCCCCAAAAUAUGGCCUCUAUGACCCACACGCGUCUUUUGACGCUCAUGACGAGACCUCAGGUCAAGCGGGGCUACCCACUGAAUUUAAGCAUAUCAAUAAGCGGAGGA
rnacentral:misc_RNA from 1 species